rnacentral:rRNA from 1 species
UACGUAGGGUGCAAGCGUUAUCCGGAAUUAUUGGGCGUAAAGAGCUCGUAGGCGGUCUGUCGCGUCUGCUGUGAAAUCCCGAGGCUCAACCUCGGGCUUGCAGUGGGUACGGGCAGGCUAGAGUGCGGUAGGGGAGAAUGGAACUCCUGGUGUAGCGGUGGAAUGCGCAGAUAUCAGGAAGAACACCGGAUGGCGAAGGCAGUUCUCUGGGCCGUAACUGACGCUGAGGAGCGAAAAGCGUGGGGAGCGAACAGG